UACCUGGAGGUAAAGCACUGAAUAGCCUAGCGGCCGAGAGGUUAGCGAAGCUUAUCAAACUCAGAAUGCCAGAGUAUUGAUGCUUGGGAGUCAGACAGUGUCAGAUAAAUGUCAUUGUCAAAAGGGAAACAGCCCAGAUCUACAGCUAAGGUCCCAAAGUCAGGUUAAGUGGAAAACGAUGUGAAGAUACGCAGACAACCAGGAUGUUGGCUCAGAAGCAGCCACUCAUUCAAAGAGUGCGUAAUAGCUCACUGGUCGAGCGUCUUUGCGCGGAGAAUUUAACGGGGCUAAACCUGACACCGAAGCUUAGGCAAUCCAGUAAUGGAUUGGGUAGGGGAGCGUUGUAUACGCGGAGAAACAGUAGCGUGAGCGGCUGUGGAGUGUAUAGAAGUGAGAAUGCCGGAAUGAGUAGCGCGAAUGCAGUGAGAAUCUGCAUGGCCGAAAGCCUCAGGUUUUUGGAGGAAGGUUCGUCCGCUCCAAGUUAGUCGGGAGCUAAGGUGAGGCCGGAAGGCGUAGCCGAUGCACAGACGGUAGAGAUUCCGUCACCACCAAAAGAGUUAAGCACAGGGACACAUUUGAAGUCUCAGAGCCGGGUGUUGGUUCCGGUAGAGAUCGAGGGAAGUUAGUACCGAAGUCUGGGAUGGAAGAUGGCGAGAAAAGCUGUGUGUAUUUCUGAGGUGCCCGUACCGCAAACCGACACAGGUAGGUAGGAAGAAGAUUCUAAGGCCAACGGGAGAAGGGUUGUUAAGGAACUCGGCAAAUUGACCCCGUAACUUCGGGAGAAGGGGUGCUCCAGAGAUGGAGCCGCAGAGAAUCGGCCCAAGCAACUGUUUACCAAAAACACAGGUUUGUGCUAAAUCGAAAGAUGACGUAUACGAGCUGACGCCUGCCCGGUGCUGGAAGGUUAAGAGGAGAUGUGCAAGCAUUGAAUCGAAGCCCCAGUGAACGGCGGCCGUAACUAUAACGGUCCUAAGGUAGCGAAAUUCCUUGUCAGGUAAGUUCUGACCCGCAUGAAAGGCGUAAUGAUUUGGGCACUGUCUCAACAGCCCGCCCGGCGAAAUUGUAGUACCGGUGAAGAUGCCGGUUACCCGCGACAAGACGGAAAGACCCCAUGGAGCUUUACUGUAGCCUAAUAUUGGGUUUCGAUGUUGCAUGCACAGGAUAGAUGGGACACAGGGAAACAAUCGCUUUGGCGGUUGCGGAGUGGCCGUUGGGAUACCAUCCUUGCGAUAUUGGAAUUCUAACCUGCGGCUCUGAAUCGAGUCGGGGGACAUUGUUAGGUGGGCAGUUUGACUGGGGCGGUCGCCUCCUAAAAAGUAACGGAGGCGUUCAAAGGUUCGCUCAGCUUGAACGGAAAUCAAGCAAAAGAGUGCAAACGCAGAAGCGAGCCUAACUGCGAGACUGACGGGUCGAGCAGUAACGAAAGUUGGAGUUAGUGAUCCGGUGGUAUGUGAGUGGAAAUGCCAUCGCUCAACGGAUAAAAGUUACCCUGGGGAUAACAGGCUGAUCUCCCCCAAGAGUCCACAUCGACGGGGAGGUUUGGCACCUCGAUGUCGGCUCAUCGCAUCCUGGGGCUGUAUUCGGUCCCAAGGGUUUGGCUGUUCGCCAAUUAAAGCGGUACGCGAGCUGGGUUCAGAACGUCGUGAGACAGUUCGGUCCCUAUCUGUCGUGGGCGCAGGAUAUUUGAUGGGAGCUGUCCCUAGUACGAGAGGACCGGGACGGACGUACCUCUGGCGCACCAGUUGUUCCGCCAGGAGCAUAGCUGGGCAACUACGUACGGAUCGGAUAAACGCUGAAAGCAUCUAAGCGUGAAGCCGACCCAAAGAUAAGAUGUCCCAUUGUUUUAAACAAGUAAGACCCCUUGAAGACUACAAGGUUGAUAGGCACGAUGUGUAAGUGGAGCGAUCCAUUCAGCAAGCGUGUACUAAUAGGUCGAGGGCUUGACCAC
rnacentral:rRNA from 1 species